rnacentral:rRNA from 1 species
GAUCGGCCCGCGUCUGAUUAGCUAGUUGGUGAGGUAACGGCCCACCAAGGCGACGAUCUUUAGCUGGUUUGAGAGAACGACCAGCCACACUGGGACUGAGACACGGCCCAGACUCCUACGGGAGGCAGCAGUUGGGAAUCUUGGACAAUGGGGGAAACCCUGAUCCAGCCAUGCCGCGUGAGUGAUGAAGGCCUUCGGGUUGUAAAACUCUUUCGACGGGGACGAUAAUGACGGUACCCGUAGAAGAAGCUCCGGCUAACUUCGUGCCAGCAGCCGCGGUAAUACGAAGGGGGCUAGCGUUGUUCGGAAUUACUGGGCGUAAAGCGUGCGCAGGCGGCUAUCCAAGUCAGUGGUGAAAGCCCGGAGCUCAACUUCGGAAUUGCCAUUGAAACUGUUUAGCUUGAGUACGAGAGAGGUGAGUGGAAUUCCCAGUGUAGAGGUGAAAUUCGUAGAUAUUGGGAAGAACACCGGUGGCGAAGGCGGCUCACUGGCUCGUAACUGACGCUCAUGCACGACAGCGUGGGGAUCAAACAGGAUUAGAUACCCUGGUAGUCCACGCCGUAAACGAUGAACGCUAGCCGUUGGUCAGCUUGCUGAUUAGUGGCGCACCUAACGCAUUAAGCGUUCCCCCCGGGGAGUA